CCUACGGGUGGCAGCAGUAGGGAAUAUUGGACAAUGGGCGCAAGCCUGAUCCAGCCAUCCCGCGUGAAGGAUUAAGGCCCUCUGGGUUGUAAACUUCUUUUCUUUGGGAAUAAAAACUCCGAUUCAUCGGAGCUUGAAGGUACCAGAGGAAUAAGCACCGGCUAACUCCGUGCCAGCAGCCGCGGUAAUACGGAGGGUGCAAGCGUUACUGGGAUUCACUGGGUUGAAGGGGUGCGUAGGUGGCUUUGGAGAAAGCCCGGAGCGCAACUCCGGAACUGCCAUUGAUACUGCUUAGCUUGAAUCAGGUCGAGGUGGAUGGAAUAUUACAUGUAGCGGUGAAAUGCUUAGAUAUGUAAUAGAACACCGAUUGCGAAGGCAGUUCACUAGGCCUGUAUUGACACUGAGGCACGAAAGCGUGGGGAUCAAACAGGAUUAGAUACCCUAGUAGUC
rnacentral:rRNA from 1 species